UUUCAAAUCCUUUUUUUUUUCGCUAAAAUAGUUCGAUUUUGGUUGCAGAAAAAAUUGCAAACAACUUUACCGCUAGACAUCUGAAAAUGUAUCUCCCAUCAGACCUGAUCCUGUUGAUGGUCUUGCUUGGACAAUGCUGCCAACCACUCAUAGUUAGGGGAGUCGAAGUAAAACAGUUACCUCAACGAGUGCAACUGGGUAUCCCACUGGAGAUCGUUUGCCGUGCCGAGCAGAGAGCUGGGCCAGCCGUAGUUUUAUCUUGGCGAUGGAUAGCCAACGGUGUAGUCGUCAAUCUCGAACCUUAUCGCCUUCCAACUGGUAAAAUACACAAGGAAAAAUAGUUAUUUAUACUGUUUUUUCUCAGCAAACAACCCUACCCAGAGGUGAGUGGACUGGAGGAUUUGAUUCAAUUUUUGCAAAGUGGCAAGCGGAUGGAGAGACCGGAAUUAAUGCCCAGAGCCAUCGGCAACGUCAUGGCGGAUUGCUGGAAGC